CCUACGGGUGGCAGCAGUGAGGAAUAUUGGUCAAUGGUCGGGAGACUGAUCCAGCCAAGCCGCGUGAGGGAGGAAGGUACAGAGUAUCGUAAACCUCUUUUGUCAGGGAACAAAGGCGGGGACGUGUCCCCGGAUGAGUGUACCUGAAGAACAAGCAUCGGCUAACCCCGUGCCAGCAGCCGCGGUAAUACGGAGGAUGCGAGCGUUAACCGGAUUUACUGGGUGUAAAGGGAGCGUAGACGGCAGUGCAAGUCCGGAGUGAAAGCCCGGGGCUCAACCCUGGGACUGCACUGGAAACUGGCAGGCUGGAGUGCGGGAGGGGCAGGCGGAAUUCCUGGUGUAGCGGUGAAAUGCGUAGAGAUCAGGAGGAACACCGGCGGCGAAGGCGGCCCGCUGGACCGUAACUGACGUUGAGGCUCGAAAGCGUGGGGAGCAAACAGGAUUAGAUACCCUUGUAGUC
rnacentral:rRNA from 1 species